AUUGAACGCUGGCGGCAGGCCUAACACAUGCAAGUCGAGCGGAUGACGGGAGCUUGCUCCUUGAUUCAGCGGCGGACGGGUGAGUAAUGCCUAGGAAUCUGCCUGGUAGUGGGGGACAACGUUUCGAAAGGAACGCUAAUACCGCAUACGUCCUACGGGAGAAAGCAGGGGACCUUCGGGCCUUGCGCUAUCAGCCGAGCCUAGGUCGGAUUAGCUAGUUGGUGGGGUAAUGGCUCACCAAGGCGACGAUCCGUAACUGGUCUGAGAGGAUGAUCAGUCACACUGGAACUGAGACACGGUCCAGACUCCUACGGGAGGCAGCAGUGGGGAAUAUUGGACAAUGGGCGAAAGCCUGAUCCAGCCAUGCCGCGUGUGUGAAGAAGGUCUUCGGAUUGUAAAGCACUUUAAGUUGGGAGGAAGGGCAGUAAGCUAAUACCUUGCUGUUUUGACGUUACCGACAGAAUAAGCACCGGCUAACUCUGUGCCAGCCGCCGCGGUAA
rnacentral:rRNA from 1 species